AUAGUUACAGGGAAUGGGGUUACUAUGACCAAGAUUGUGGUUUUCCAUGGUGAGACUUUUCCAUUGCACACUUUGAUGGGUUCAUUCCUGUAAUUAUCCCAAAUGUGGGAAACUCAACUACCUAAUUUUUGAUAGUGGUGGACCAUGUUUGAGCAGUUAUCUA